ACAUCUGAACUGGAGAGCAGCCUAACGUCUAUGGACUGGUUACCACAGCUCACCAUGAGAGCAGCCAUCCAAAAGUCUGAUGCUACACAGAAUGCACAUGGAACGGGAAUUUCUAAGAAGAAUGCACUCCUUGACCCAAAUACAACACUGGACCAGGAAGAAGUCCAACAGCACAAAGAUGGAAAACCUCCGUCCAGCUAUGCCAGCCUCAUCACAUUUGCAAUUAAUAGCUCACCUAAAAAGAAGAUGACAUUAAGUGAGAUUUACCAAUGGAUUUGUGAUAACUUCCCGUAUUAUAGAGAAGCUGGCAGUGGUUGGAAGAAUUCCAUACGACAUAAUCUGUCACUGAACAAAUGUCUCCUUAAAGUGCCUUGGUCCAAGGAUGAUCCCGGAAAGGGUUCUUACUGGGCAAUAGACACCAAUCCGAAGGAAGACACGCUGCCUACUCGGCCAAAGAAGAGGGCAAGAUCUGUAGAACGGGUAACACUGUACAACGCUGACCAGGAUGGUAGUGAUAGCCCUCGAAGCAGCCUUAACAACCGUCUCUCAGACCAGAGUUUGGCGUCUGUUAAUUUGAACAGUGUUGGAAGUGUACAUAGAUACACACCGGUCACCAACCAUCCAGAACCAGUCUCUCAGUCAUUAACACCUCAGCAGCAGCAGCCACAGUACAACCUUCCAGAACGAGAGAAACAACUACUUUUCACAGAGUAUAAUUUUGAAGAUCUCAGUGCCUCAUUUCGGAGUCUUUAUAAGUCAGUUUUUGAGCAGUCACUUAGUCAACAAGGUUUAAUGAGCAUCCCUUUGGAAUCUUCCCAACAGUCCCACACUUCAUGUUCCUAUCAACACUCUCCUAGCAGUACAGUGACCUCUCACCCACACAGCAACCAAAGCAGCCUGCCCAACAAUCAUAGUGGCCUCAGUGCCACAAGUAGUAAUUCGGUUGCACAGGUCUCACUGUCCCACCCCCAGAUGCACCCCCAGCCCUCUCCACAUACACCUCAUAGACCGCAUGGUUUACCACAGCACCCACAGCGUCCCCAGCACCCAGCGCCACACCCACAGCAACAUAGCCAGCUACAGCCAUCUCACUCCCAGCACCCCCCUCCACAUCAGCACAUACAACACCAUCCAAACCAUCAGCAUCAGACAUUAGCACAUCAGCCACCACCACCCCCUCAACAGGUGUCCUGUAAUUCUGGUGUUUCAAGUGAUUGGUAUGCAACACUCGAUAUGCUGAAGGAAAGCUGUCGAAUUGCCAGCAGUGUUAACUGGUCAGAUGUAGACCUUUCACAGUUCCAAGGUCUGAUGGAGAGUAUGAGGCAGGCGGAUCUCAAGAACUGGUCAUUAGAUCAGGUUCAGUUCGCUGAUCUCUGUUCCUCUCUUAAUCAGUUCUUCACACAGACUGGCCUUAUCCACUCGCAGAGUAUUGUUCAGCAGAACGUCUGUCACGGUGCCAUGCACCCAGCAAAGCCUUCCCAACACAUCGGGGCAGGAAAUUUGUACAUAGAUUCCAGACAAAGUCUCCCUCCCUCAGUGAUGCCACCCCCUGGUUAUCCUCAUAUUCCACAGGCGCUCAACACUCCAGGAACUACUAUGGCAGGUCAUCACGGAGCCAUGAACCAGCAGCACAUGAUGCCUUCCCAAGCCUUCCCAAUGCGGCGCCCUCUGCCUCCAGAUGACAUCCAGGAUGACUUUGAUUGGGAUUCAAUAGUGUAGGCUUGUUUCUGCAAGACAGCAGACUCCAGCAUCCUUUUUGUUCAGUGAAAGGACGGAUUAGAGGCCGGUUGANAAAACAAAGCAAUGUUACCAGUGCUAUCUAAAUUCCUUUUGAA